rnacentral:rRNA from 1 species
GAUGAACGCUGGCGGCGUGCCUAAUACAUGCAAGUCGAGCGAACGGACGAGAAGCUUGCUUCUCUGAUGUUAGCGGCGGACGGGUGAGUAACACGUGGAUAACCUACCUAUAAGACUGGGAUAACUUCGGGAAACCGUAGCUAAUACCGGAUAAUAUUUUGAACCGCAUGGUUCAAAAGUGAAAGACGGUCUUGCUGUCACUUAUAGAUGGAUCCGCGCUGCAUUAGCUAGUUGGUAAGGUAACGGCUUACCAAGGCAACGAUGCAUAGCCGACCUGAGAGGGCGAGCGCCCACAUGGGAAGGGAGACCGGGUCCAGACGCAGCCGGGAGGCAGAAGAGGGGAAUCUGCGGAAAUGGGCUAAGGCUUGAAGGACAAAGGCGGAGGGAGGGAGAAGGGUCUUGGGACGGGAAAACUUUAUUAUGAGGAAAGAACAUUGGGGUAAGGAAUUGUGCAAAGCGUGCGGGUACCUAAUAAGAAAGAAACGCUAAAUCACUGC